GACAGUGGAGAACAACAGGCCCCAUUUAAACAAUGGGAGGGAAUGCAUGAGGGGAAGGAAAGACAGGCACUGGGCCCAAACAUCUAAAAAAAUAAAAAUAAUUGCAUUUAUGUUGGGUGGGGGAGAGAGGGAAGAGUUUUUUGUUUUCAUUUGAGCCUGGUUUCCAAUUUCUGCCUUACAGAAGAGAAAAGCUAGCUUCCAAGGAAUCUGAAGGCAUAUAAAAUGUUUGAUGAAUGCACUGGGACCCUCCCCAUGCAAGCAGCUUUGGCUGUGGCUCACUGGCCUCCCACCAAAGAGCACCAGGACAUGUCUGCCGCGAUUCAGCCCAUGUAUCAACAUAACGAAAGGGGUCCCUUCAGUCAAGAAGUGGUUUUCCCUCAUGCUCAAGCAUUUACCAGCCUGGUUGCAGUGUGACCUCUGCAGGACACAGCUUAAGAAAUCAUGCAUAGCUUCUUCCAGAAGGACACUGAACAUCUCUUUUAAAUUGCCAAAGUCCCUGAACCCCUACUGACCCAACUGCAAGUGAAGUUGCUGAAUUGCAUGCAAGAUCCACACACAGCCUGGAGCUGUCCUGAUAAACAGAGGUGCCUGGGGAAGGCACACAGUCUGCCCAGACAUCCCAGCAG
rnacentral:lncRNA from 1 species